rnacentral:rRNA from 1 species
UGGGGAAUUUUGGGCAAUGGGCGCAAGCCUGACCCAGCAACGCCGCGUGAAGGACGAAAUCCCUCCGGGAUGUAAACUUCGAAAGUCAGGAAAGAAAUCCUUUGGGCGAAUACCCUAAAGGGAUGACGGUACCUGACGUAAGCCCCGGCUAACUACGUGCCAGCAGCCGCGGUAAUACGUAGGGGGCAAGCGUUGUUCGGAAUUACUGGGCGUAAAGGGCGCGUAGGCGGCAUGGCAAGUCGGGAGUGAAAGGCCUGGGCUCAACCCAGGAACUGCUUUCGAGACUGCCAAGCUAGAGUGCGGAAGGGGCAACUGGAAUUCCCAGUGUAGCGGUGAAAUGCGUAGAUAUUGGGAAGAACACCGGAGGCGAAGGCGGGUUGCUGGGCCGACACUGACGCUGAUGCGCGAAAGCCAGGGGAGCAAACGG